rnacentral:rRNA from 1 species
CACCGCCGCGGUAAUACGGAGGGUGCAAGCGUUAUCCGGAUUUAUUGGGUUUAAAGGGUCCGUAGGCGGAUCUGUAAGUCAGUGGUGAAAUCUCACAGCUUAACUGUGAAACUGCCAUUGAUACUGCAGGUCUUGAGUAAAUUUGAAGUGGCUGGAAUAAGUAGUGUAGCGGUGAAAUGCAUAGAUAUUACUUAGAACACCAAUUGCGAAGGCAGGUCACUAAGAUUUAACUGACGCUGAUGGACGAAAGCGUGGGGAGCGAACAGGAUUAGAUACCCCUGUAGUCCCUGUCUCUUAUACA